UAGGGAAUAUUGCUCAAAUGGGGGAAACCCGUGAAGCAGCAACGCCGCGUGGAGGAUGAAGGUUUUCGGAUUGUAAACUCCUUUUGUGAGAGAAGAUAAUGACGGUAUCUCACGAAUAAGCACCGGCUAACUCCGUGCCAGCAGCCGCGGUAAUACGGAGGGUGCAAGCGUUGCUCGGAAUCACUGGGCGUAAAGAGCGCGUAGGCGGGGUAGCAAGUCAGAUGUGAAAUCCUAUGGCUUAACCAUAGAACUGCAUUUGAAACUAGCUACUCUAGAGUAUGGGAGAGGUAGGUGGAAUUCUUGGUGUAGGGGUAAAAUCCGUAGAGAUCAAGAGGAAUACUCAUUGCGAAGGCGACCUGCUAGAACAUUACUG
rnacentral:rRNA from 1 species